rnacentral:lncRNA from 1 species
AUGACCAGGGAUGUUCUCUGUUUAGUGAGUCCGCCAGAUCAGAGGCAGUAGGGAUGGCCAGGGAUGUUCUCUGUUUAGUGAGUCCUCCAGAUCAGAGGCAGUAGGGAUGACCAGGGAUGUUCUCUGUUUAGUGAGUCCUCCAGAUCAGAGGCAGUAGGGAUGACCAGGGAUGUUCUCUGUUUAGUGAGUCCUCCAGAUCAGAGGCAGUAGGGAUGACCAGGGAUGUCCUCUGUUUAGUGAGUCCUCCAGAUCAGAGGCAGUAGGGAUGACCAGGGAUGUUCUCUGUUUAGUGAGUCCAUCAGAUCAGAGGCAGUAGGAUGACCAGAGAUGUUCUCUGGUUAGUGAGUCCUCCAGAUCAGAGGCAGUAGGGAUGACCAGGGAUGUUCUCUGUUUAGUGAGUCCCCAGAUCAGAGGCAGUAGGGAUGACCAGGGAUGUUCUCUGUUUAGUGAGUCCAUCAGAUCAGAGACAGUAGGGAUGUCCAGGGAUGUUCUCUGUUUAGUGAGUCCGUCAGAUCAGAGGCAGUAGGGAUGACCAGGGAUGUUCUCUGUUUAGUGAGUCCAUCAGAUCAGAGGCAGUAGGGAUGACCAGGGAUGUUCUCUGUUUAGUGAGUCCGUCAGAUCAGAGGCAGUAGGGAUGACCAGGGAUGUCCUCUUGAUAAGUGUGUGAAUUGGACCAUUUUGCUGUCCUGCCUGAGCAUUUGAAAUGUAACGAGUACUUUUGGGUGUCAGGAAAAAUGUAUGGAGUAAAAAGCACAUUAUUUUCAUUAGGAAUGUAGUGAAGAAAAAGUAAAUAGAAAGUAUAUAUAAAUAGUAAAGUAAAGUACAGAUACCCCCAAAAACUACUUAAGUAAUACUUUAAAGUAUUUUUACUUCAGUACUUUACACCCCUUAUUUUCUGCUCAGACCAGCCUGCAGAAAACACAGAUCACAGAAACAACCAAAAAGCCUUUCCUUUCCUCCACCAUGACACACAGCCUGCAUCCCAAAUCUUUUCCUAUUUAUUUAAUUUAACCUUUAUUUAACUAGGCAAGUCAGUUAAG